AAACCUGGUGAACUGAAACAUCUAAGUAACCAGUGGAAGAGAAAGAAAAAUCGAUUCCGUCAGUAGCGGCGAGCGAAAUCGGAAGAGCCCAAACCGAGAGGGUUUCCCUCUCGGGGUUGUAGGACUCCAAUAUCGGAUUGUGUGUUGUUAGUGGAACGACUUGGAACGGUCGGCCACAGAGGGUGACAGUCCCGUACACGAAAGCAUACACACACCGUAGGAGCACCUGAGUAGGUCCAGUCACGUGAAACCUGGAUUGAACCCGCGGGGACCAUCCCGCAAGGCUAAAUACUCCUUAAUGACCGAUAGCUAACCAGUAGCGUGAGUGAAUGGUGAGAAGAACCCCGUUUAGGGGAGGACAGUGAACCUGAAACCAUGCGCCUACAAGCGGUCGGAGCCCGAUUUGAACGGGUGACGGCGUGCCUUUUGCAUAAUGAUCCGGCGAGUUGUGGUAUGCGGCUUGGUUAAGCUCCUCCGGAGCGAAGCCCAAGGGAAACCGAGUCUGAAUAGGGCGAAAUUGUCGUAUGCUGCAGACGCGAAAGCUGUGUGAUCUACCCAUGGGCAGGUUGAAGCGCGGGUUAAACUGCGUGGAGGACCGAACCCACUUAGGUUGAAAACUGAGGGGAUGACCUGUGGGGAGGACUGAAAGUGUAAUCAAACCAGCAGAUAGCUCGUUCUCUCCGAAAUAUCUUGAGGGAUAGCGUCGAGCCACUAUUUACCGGGGGUAGAGAGACUGAAUCGGAUGGGGGCCCUUCCCGGGGUACCUCACCGAACCAAACUCCGAAUACCGGUAAAACUAUCUCGGCAGUCAGUCCCUGGGGGAUAAGCUCCAGGGUCGAGAGGGAAACAACCCAGAUCGCCUGCUAAGGUCCCUAAGGAAUACUCAGUCACUAAGGAAGUUGAAGUGCCGUGACAGCUGGGAUGUUGGCUUAGAAGCAGCCACCAUUUAAAAAGUGCGUAACAGCUUACCAGUCGAGCAUUUCUGCGCCGAUAAUGAACGGGAGUAAGUAUUCCACCGAAGCAGCGGAUUGAAGAUUUAUCUUCAGUGGUAGGAGAGCGUCGAAGACCAGAUACAAGCCAUACGGAAACGAGUGGUGUCGGGGUCUUCGAGUGAUUAUGCCGGAAUGAGUAACGAUAAAACAGGUGAGAAUCCUGUUCGCCGAAAGCCUAAGGUUUCCUGGGGAAGGUAAUUCCGCCCAGGGUUAGCCGGUACCUUAGUCGAGGCCGAAAGGCGUAGACGAUGGAUAGCAGGUCAACAUUCCUGCGCCAAGUGUGUGGAGCGAUGGAGGGACGGCGUCCGAAAAGCAUGCGGACUAAUAGAUUGUCCGUUGCUCGGGUCUAAGAUUGGAGGAUUGGUAAAUCCGCCUCAAUAGGAUCAAGGACCCGAGCUAACAGCAUUCAAGUUCUGGAUGAUGUUGGAAGGACGUCCAAGAAAAGCUUCUAAGUGUUGAAGCACACUUGACCGUACUAAAACUGACACAGGUAGGCGAGAUGAGUAUUCUAAGGCGCUCGGGAGAACGGUGGUUAAGGAACUCUGCAAAAUGGCUCCGUAAGUUCGCGAUAAGGGGCGCCCACGCAAGUGGGCCACAGAAAAUCGGCUGUAUCGACUGUUUAUCAAAAACACAGGUCUCUGCUAACACGCAAGUGGAUGUAUAGAGACUGACGCCUGCCCGGUGUUGGUAGGUUAAGGAAGAUUGUUAGCAUUAGCGAAGCAAGCGACCGAAGCCCCAAUAAACGGCGGCCCUAACUAUGAGGGUCCUAAGGUAGCGAAGUUCCUUGUCGGGUAAGUUCCGACCUGCAUGAAAGGCGUAACGAAUUCAGCACUGUCUCAACCACCGACCCGGUGAAAUUGUAGUCGUGGUGAAGAUGCCACGUACCCGCGGUUAGACGGAAAGACCCCGUGAACCUUUACUGUAGGCUGAUAUUGGGUUGAGAUAUGUCUUGUGUAGGAUAGCUGGGAGGCUUUGAGCUCGGCACGCUAGUGUCGAAGGAGCCGUUGUUGAAAUACCAGCCUGGUCAUAUUUUAAUUCUAACUUUGAUCUCGUGAAUCCGAGCAAAGGACAGUGUCAGUCGGGCAGUUUGACUGGGGCGGUCUCCUCCCAAAGAGUAACGGAGGAGUACAAAGGUACACUCAGCCUGGUCGGCAAUCAGGCGAAGAGCGUAAAGGUAGAAGUGUGCUUGACUGCGAGACCCAUAAGUCGAGCAGGAACGAAAGUUGGUCUUAGUGAUCCGGUAAUCCCGAAUGGAAGGGUUAUCGCUCAUCAGAUAAAAGGUACUCCGGGGAUAACAGGCUUAUCGCAUCCGAGCGUCCACAGCGGCGAUGCGGUUUGGCACCUCGAUGUCGGCUCAUCACAUCCUGGGGGUGUAGAAGCUCCCAAGGGUUUGGCUGUUCGCCAAUGAAAGUGGUACGUGAGCUGGGUUCAGACCGUCGUGAGACAGGUCGGUCCCUAUCUGCCGUGGGCGUUCGAAUCUUGAGGGGAUUCAACUUUAGUACGAGAGGAUUUAGUUGGACGAAGCUCUGGUGUACCAGUUGUCGCGCUAGCGGCACGGCUGGAUAGCUAACUUCGGAACGGAUAAACGCUGAAAGCAUCUAAGCGUGAAGCCCAACCCAAGAUUAGGAUUCGUAGACAUUAGUCGAGAGCCCCCUGGAAGACGACCAGGUUGAUAGGCUGGACGUGUAAGCACGGUAACGUGUUAAGCUUACCAGUACUAAUGGGCGAAGGAU
rnacentral:rRNA from 1 species